rnacentral:lncRNA from 1 species
GCACUACUACACGGUUAGGAGUAUGAAGCCUGCACUCUGUGAGGAGGGGCUGGGAGAAAUGGGUCUGUUCAGAGGAGUUGAAGCACUGGUGAAGGUUGGGCGGGGAGCUGGUGGAUGUUCAUCCUUGGAAUCCUCGGAGAUGCUCAGACCUUAACCGGGUGAGGUCCUGAGCAAGCUGCUCUAGCCUGGAGGCCACCCCUACUCUGAGCAGAGGUUUGCAGCAACUGACCUGCAAAAGCGUGGCGACACCAGAAUAACUGUACUGACCUCUGUGAACGUUAUUGAAAGGAGAGCAGAAAGCAUAAUCCUUUCCUGAAGGUCACAAAACAGUGCUGAAAGCCAGAUGCAGUCUGAAAAGGUAAACAACAUGAAUCAGGGUGUUUUCCAAUAUUCUUUGCCAAACAUCUACAAAGAGCUGAAAUAAGUUUCUGUCCCUCUAGAUUAAUGUCCAGGCUAUAAUCUGAGUUAAACUGAACUAUGUUUCAAAUCUGUCUGCUAAACAGAAGCAUGGAAAUAAUAAAGCAAGCUCAAGUGGAAGGGGGGUAUGGAGAUGACACAGUGCAGCCCCUGCACCAAGAAGGGCCGGUCUCAAGG